GGGGAAUUUUGGACAAUGGGGGCAACCCUGAUCCAGCCAUGCCGCGUGCAGGAUGAAGGCCUUCGGGUUGUAAACUGCUUUUGUCAGGGACGAAAAGGACCGUGUUAAUACCAUGGUCUGCUGACGGUACCUGAAGAAUAAGCACCGGCUAACUACGUGCCAGCAGCCGCGGUAAUACGUAGGGUGCAAGCGUUAAUCGGAAUUACUGGGCGUAAAGCGUGCGCAGGCGGUUCUGUAAGACAGAUGUGAAAUCCCCGGGCUCAACCUGGGAAUUGCAUUUGUGACUGCAGGACUAGAGUUCAUCAGAGGGGGGUGGAAUUCCAAGUGUAGCAGUGAAAUGCGUAGAUAUUUGGAAGAACACCAAUGGCGAAGGCAGCCCCCUGGGAUGCGACUGACGCUCAUGCACGAAAGCGUGGGGAGCAAAC
rnacentral:rRNA from 1 species